rnacentral:rRNA from 1 species
GACGAACGCUGGCGGCGUGCUUAACACAUGCAAGUCGAACGAUGAAGCCGGAGCUUGCUCUGGUGAAUUAGUGGCGAACGGGUGAGUAACACGUGAGCAACCUGCCCUUGACUCUGGGAUAACUGCGGGAAACUGUAGCUAAUACCGGAUACGACCCUCGGAGGCAUCUCCUGGGGGUGGAAAGAAUUUCGGUCAAGGAUGGACUCGCGGCCUAUCACCUAGUUGGUGAGGUAAAGGCUCACCAAGGCGACGACGGGUAGACGGCCUGAGAGGGUGACCGGCCACACUGGGACUGAGACACGGCCCAGACUCCUACGUGAGGCAGCAGUGGGGAAUAUUGCACAAUGGGCGCAAGCCUGAUGCAGCAACGCCGCGUGAGGGAUGACGGCCUUCGGGUUGUAAACCUCUUUUAGCAGGGAAGAAGCGAAAGUGACGGUACCUGCAGAAAGAGCACCGGCUAACUACGUGCCAGCCGCCGCAGUAA